GACUUUGCUAGAGGACUUGCAGCACACGUUAAUCUACGGAAAGCAGAUUCUCUACCUUUCAGUCCCCAUGAAGGGAGACUUGCUGAACCCAUGCACUACAGCAAAUAUCCAGCUAGCAAAGGAAGGCAAGCUCAAAGUUAAUCUACCAUGGUUGAAAAAUAAGAAGGAGGAGGAGGAUAUCAACUGCCAUCUUUUGACAGGAUCAUCAGAGCAUUAUGCUCUGUAUGACAGAUUUCAUGAAUUUAACACCAAAGACCCAAGAGAUGCUCUUAGGAGAAUCCAAGUAUUCCCAGAACUCUGUGGAUGGGUAAAUACUCAAACCGCAGAGCAACUUUUUGGUUCAAUGCGCAAGAACAAUUAUUUCUUGAACAUGCUCACGCCAUCUGGACACACAUUUUUGAUGCGCAACAUCAUUCACCAUUAUAACACAGCACAGAAUAAGAACAUGGAGGACAGCCUAAGAAAAAUUGUAUCACCAAGUGAUCAGUUAACCUUCAAUGGUUAUGGUCAGAUAGUACUGGGUACACCUCCACAGUCCCUAAAUGAUAGUGAAAGACACACCUGUGAUAUUACACAAAUAGACCAAGUACACUGCCCCAGCCAAGGUUCAGUGAUUGACAUGACAGCCCUACGAAAUGUGCAGCCAAACAGGGCAUGCUGGAUGCAUCCACAAAGCAGUGACCAAAUAAAGAUGGUAUGUUGAAUUUUUUGCAUUUUUAUGCAAAGUGUAUAAUCAUACUUACACUUUUUUUUUUUAGUUUUUCUAGAUAGAUAAUGCUUUAAAUGAAAAGGAAUCACGACAACAAUUUUUGGCUCAAGUAGGAGCAACAAUUCUGAACAGAUCAGAUUUUAUUACCUUGGGACAUCCAAAUGAUGUUGAAGGGACUAUUUUGAAUGCCUGCCUUUCAAUGGUCAGAGAUAUUGCUGAUUUAAAGGC